rnacentral:rRNA from 1 species
GACGAACGCUGGCGGCGUGCUUAACACAUGCAAGUCGAACGAGAAGAGAUGAGAAGCUUGCUUCUUAUCAAUUCGAGUGGCAAACGGGUGAGUAACGCGUAAGCAACCUGCCCUUCAGAUGGGGACAACAGCUGGAAACAGGUGCUAAUACCGGAUAAUAAAGCAGAUCGCAUGAUCAGCUUUUGAAAGGCGGCGUAAGCUGUCGCUAAGGGAUGGCCCCGCGGUGCAUUAGCUAGUUGGUAAGGUAACGGCUUACCAAGGCGACGAUGCAUAGCCGAGUUGAGAGACUGAUCGGCCACAUUGGGACUGAGACACGGCCCAA